GAUCAUGGCUCAGGAUGAACGCUAGCUACAGGCUUAACACAUGCAAGUCGAGGGGCAGCGGGAUUGAAGCUUGCUUCAAUUGCCGGCGACCGGCGCACGGGUGAGUAACGCGUAUCCAACCUUCCGUACACUCAGGGAUAGCCUUUCUAAAGAAAGAUUAAUACCUGAUGGUAUGAUGGGAUUGCAUGAUAGCAUCAUUAAAGAUUUAUCGGUGUACGAUGGGG
rnacentral:rRNA from 1 species